rnacentral:rRNA from 1 species
UACGGGGGGAGCAAGCGUUGUUCGGAUUUACUGGGCGUAAAGGGCGCGUAGGCGGCCUCCGCAAGUCAGUUGUGAAAUCUCCGAGCUUAACUCGGAAAGGUCAACUGAUACUGCGGGGCUAGAGUGCGGAAGGGGCAACUGGAAUUCUUGGUGUAGCGGUGAAAUGCGUAGAUAUCAGGAGGAACACCGGUGGCGAAGGCGGGUCUCUGGGCAGUAACUGACGCUGAGGAGCGAAAGCGUGGGGAGCGAACAGG